rnacentral:lncRNA from 1 species
AUCCUGAUAGUAAGUACAAAUCUUAAUAUGUUAAUAAAUGUGAUUAACAUUUGACGUAUCCGACAAAAAAAAAACAGAGGCAAAGACAAAAAUUCCAUCUUCAUCUCCAUACUAUGUAUUACUAAUGAUUAUUCAGUACACGCUUCAUUUUCUUAUGUCGCAUCUUUUACCAGAAAAGAUAACUAUGUAUCCCACCUAGGUAUUUGUUGAUAAAUUGUGAACCUGCAUUUAAUUUGAGUAAGCACAAUUUAAAACAUCCAAUAAAAAUAGACCUUCCAUAUAUAAGUUUAAUAGUAUGUAAGGUGCCUAACUGUCCGUUAAUUGGGGAAACCAAAAUACCGGCUUGAGACGGUAUUAACGACAAUGAAAAUUAAAAAAUCAAUACCCCCCCCCCCCCCCAAUUCAGCAUUCGUCCUGUUCAUCGGGACAAGUAUACAAAAAAACACACUAAUUACUACAAUAUGUAAUUGUGACUUUACUAAAAGGAACAAACUUUAAUAUAAGACCAUAGACCUCAAGAGCCUGAGACUCUUACCUUAUGAUGAUGAAUGAUAAUCUGAUUUUUGAUAAACCUCAUCUUCUUUCUAUAUCUCCAAGCCCAUAAAGAAAUUAGAACAUAUGAAUAGGCAGAACCAUGCAUGUAUAGAAAUAAAAAAAAGAACAAACAAAGUAGGGGGUUAUGGACUUGAAAAU